rnacentral:snoRNA from 1 species
GGUGAAGAUGAUGAAUUCGGGGCUCUGAUUCAUGUGACUUGAAAAAGGCCAUCCAUUUCCUGAUUCACC